rnacentral:rRNA from 1 species
UCAAUGAUUAUUUAAAUUGCUGAAGUAUUUUGACUUCACAAAGGUAUUGAAAUAAGAUUUUAAUUGAAUGCUAAGAGAAUGGAUAAAUAGUAAAUAAUUAUAUAAAUAAUUAAAAUUAAAAUUUCAUUUAAAAAUGAAAAAGUUAUUUAUAAAAAUAUGGGACAAGAAGACCCUAUGAAUUUUAUAUAUUUAUUUAUAUAUAACUAUACAAAUAGAUAAUUUAAUUGGGGCGAUUAAAAAAUAUUAAAUAACUUUAUUUUAAUGAUGAAAUUCAGGUUAAUUUAAAAAUACUCUAGGGAUAACAGCGUUAUUACUGUGGAUAGUUCAUAUUAAUACUGUAGUUUGCGACCUCGAUGUUGAAUUAAUAAACCUAAUAAUUGGAGCAGAUUAUUAAGGAAGAUUGUUCAUCUUUUAAAUUAUUACGUGAUCUGAGUUCAGACCGGA